rnacentral:rRNA from 1 species
GACAGAGGGUGCAAACGUUGUUCGGAAUUACUGGGCGUAAAGCGCGUGUAGGCGGCCCAGCAAGUCGGAUGUGAAAGCCCUGGGCUUAACCUAGGAAGUGCAUUCGAAACUGCUGAGCUUGAGUUCUGGAGAGGAAGGCGGAAUUCUCGGUGUAGAGGUGAAAUUCGUAGAUAUCGAGAGGAACACCGGUGGCGAAGGCGGCCUUCUGGACAGUGACUGACGCUGAGACGCGAAAGCGUGGGGAGCAAACAGG